rnacentral:rRNA from 1 species
AGUGAACGCUGGCGGCGUGCUUAAUACAUGCAAGUCAAACGAGAACGGGUUAUAGCUUGCUAUAAUUGUCAGCUAAGUGGCGCACGGGUGAGUAAUGUAUAGGUAAUAUGCCUCUUACUAAGGGAUAACAAAUGGAAACGUUUGCUAAUACCUUAUACUCCUUAUUAACAGAAGUUAAUAAGGGAAAGAUUUAUUGGUAAGAGAUUAGCCUGUAUUGUAUCAGUUAGUUGGUGGGGUAAUGGCAUACCAAGACUAUGACACAUAACUGGUUUGAGAGGAUGAUCAGUCACACUGGAACUGAGACACGGUCCAGACUCCUACGGGAGGCAGCAGUGGGGAAUAUUGCACAAUGGACGAAAGUCUGAUGCAGCAACGCCGCGUGGAGGAUGACACAUUUCGGUGCGUAAACUCCUUUUAUAUGAGAAGAUAAUGACGGUAUUAUAUGAAUAAGCACCGGCUAACUUCGUGCCAGCAGCCGCAGUAA